GCCUGGCAGGUCAGACAGGUCUGCACAGCUCUCUCCUUUGUGCCGGUGCACACAUCACAGGGCACAUCAACAGGGUUUGUCUUGUUGAGUUCCUCUACCACUUCAGCCAGCACAGUGUUUCUGUGAAGAACAGGCCUUAAGACAAAAGUCGUCCUGCACUGGGGGCACUUGCAAUUUUCAGUAGUAUCCCAGUAGUCUUCAAUGCACUGUUUACAGUAGUUAUGUCCACAGGCAGUGGUCACCGGGUCCUUCAGGCGGUCUUGACACACGGAGCAGAUGAACUGAUCGGGAGACACUGAAAUCUUUGCUUCAGCCAUUGAAUUUAAAAAGCACCUACUGCAUUUAGACCUUCA